UACGGAGGAUGCAAGCGUUAUCCGGAAUGAUUGGGCGUAAAGCGUCCGUAGGUGGCUGUGUAAGUCUAUUGUCAAAGCGUCAUGCUUAACAUGAUAAGGGCGGUAGAAACUACACAGCUAGAGUGCAUUCGGGGCAGAGGGAAUUCCUGGUGUAGCGGUGAAAUGCGUAGAGAUCAGGAAGAACACCGGUGGCGAAAGCGCUCUGCUAGGCUGCAACUGACACUGAGGGACGAAAGCUAGGGGAGCGAAUGGG
rnacentral:rRNA from 1 species